CCUACGGGUGGCAGCAGUGAGGAAUAUUGGUCAAUGGGCGCGAGCCUGAACCAGCCAUGCCGCGUGCAGGAAGACUGCCCUACGGGUUGUAAACUUCUUUUAUACAGGAAUAAAGUGCGGCACGUGUGCCUUUUUGUAUGUACUUUAUGAAUAAGGAUCGGCUAACUCCGUGCCAGCAGCCGCGGUAAUACGGAGGAUCCGAGCGUUAUCCGGAUUUAUUGGGUUUAAAGGGAGCGUAGAUGGGUUGUUAAGUCAGUUGUGAAAGUCUGCGGCUCAACCGUGAAAUUGCAAUUGAUACUGGCAGCCUUGAGUACAGUGGAGGUAGGCGGAAUUCGUGGUGUAGCGGUGAAAUGCUUAGAUAUCACGAAGAACUCCGAUUGCGAAGGCAGCUUACUAAACUGCCACUGACAUUGAUGCUCGAAAGUGUGGGUAUCAAACAGGAUUAGAUACCCUUGUAGUC
rnacentral:rRNA from 1 species